UUUUUUUUUUUUUUUUAAAGUUGAAGAGAUUCUUAAGUUUAGCUGUUUCCCCACACAAAUGUUUUCUUUAACACUAAUCUUUGAGAUCUCCAUGCUUCACAGGCUAAGGAAAGCAGAAAAAGACAUUUAUAAUCUGUAAUGAUGGAACAUUAGAGAUGCUCAUGCAGUUCAUCCCUGAAUUCUAUGAUACAAGAGCAUCAUGCUCCACCAUCCCAUUUAUCAAAUUUAGGCAAGAUCUGCCAUACAAUGAGAAGAGAUACCUCUGAUUUGCAUCAAAGCCGCCUUGUUCCUUAUACAAGAGCAGGCCUUAAGCCAGCAGAGAAUUGCAAAGUU
rnacentral:lncRNA from 1 species